UAGUGCCAUGAAUCCCGCCUCCUGAGUUCAUGUUCUGCCUCAGUUCCUGUUUUUUGUCUGUGAGUCUGUUUUCUGGGAGUUCCUGAACGCACCCUGUCUGGUUGCCUGGCGACGAAGCAAGGCGGGAUAAUCUGCAACCACCCACACCUGUGUCUCAUCUGCAAUCUGCACACCUGGUCCUGAUCAUCACCUCUCCACCAUUUAAGCCAUGAACUGACAUCCAUUCCCUGCUGGCUCGUUAGCCUCACCAUUUUGUGACCUGGGAAAUUCUCUCCACCUCUGCCUGGCUGUCUGCUUCACCAUCAUUAUUGGAUCUGCAUUUAUCUGUCAGCCGACCCACUUCCACCCACUGCCUCACCAGCUGGACUCACCUGCUUCCACGUACAAAGCCAAAUAAAAACUCACCUUUUUUUUCAUUCUA